rnacentral:rRNA from 1 species
CACAAUGGGCGCAAGCCUGAUGCAGCAACGCCGCGUGAGGGACGAAGGCCUUCGGGUUGUAAACCUCUUUUAGUAGGGAAGAAGCGACUGGGUUUUCCUGGGAGUGACGGUACCUGCAGAAAAAGCACCGGCUAACUACGUGCCAGCAGCCGCGGUAAUACGUAGGGUGCAAGCGUUGUCCGGAAUUAUUGGGCGUAAAGAGCUCGUAGGCGGUUUGUCGCGUCUGCUGUGAAAACCCGAGGCUCAACCUCGGGCCUGCAGUGGGUACGGGCAGACUAGAGUGCGGUAGGGGAGAUUGGAAUUCCUGGUGUAGCGGUGGAAUGCGCAGAUAUCAGGAGGAACACCAAUGGCGAAGGCAGAUCUCUGGGCCGUAACUGACGCUGAGGAGCGAAAGCAUGGGGAGCGAACAGGAUUAGAUACCCUGGUAGUCCAUGCCGUAAACGUUGGGAACUAGAUGUGGGGACCAUUCCACGGUCUCCGUGUCGCAGCUAACGCAUUAAGUUCCCCGCCUGGGGAGUACGGCCGCAAGGCUAAAACUCAAAGGAAUUGACGGGGGCCCGCACAAGCGGCGGAGCAUGCGGAUUAAUUCGAUGCAACGCGAAGAACCUUACCAAGGCUUGACAUAUACCGGAAACGGCUGGAAACAGUCGCCCCGCAAGGUCGGUAUACAGGUGGUGCAUGGUUGUCGUCAGCUCGUGUCGUGAGAUGUUGGGUUAAGUCCCGCAACGAGCGCAACCCUCGUCCUAUGUUGCCAGCACGUAAUGGUGGGAGCUCAUGGGAUACUGCCGGGGUCAACUCGGAGGAAGGUGGGGAUGACGUCAAAUCAUCAUGCCCCUUAUGUCUUGGGCUUCACGCAUGCUACAAUGGCCGGUACAAAGGGCUGCGAUACCGCAAGGUGGAGCGAAUCCCAAAAAGCCGGUCUCAGUUCGGAUUGAGGUCUGCAUCUCGACCUCAUGAAGUCGGAGUCGCUAGUAAUCGCAGAUCAGCAACGCUGCGGUGAAUACGUUCCCGGGCCUUGUACACACCGCC